UACAGAGGUCCCAAGCGUUGUUCGGAUUCACUGGGCGUAAAGGGUGCGUAGGUGGUCGGGUACGUCUGAUGUGAAAUCUCCGAGCUUAACUCGGAAAUGGCAUUGGAUACUAUUCGGCUAGAGGGUUUGAGGGGGGACUGGAAUACUUGGUGUAGCAGUGAAAUGCGUAGAUAUCAAGUGGAACACCAGUGGCGAAGGCGAGUCCCUGGAAAACUCCUGACACUGAGGCACGAAAGCUAGGGGAGCAAACAGG
rnacentral:rRNA from 1 species